rnacentral:rRNA from 1 species
GUUGGUGACUUUAGCGAAGAGGGUACACCCGUUCCCAUCCCGAACACGGUAGUUAAGCUCUUCAGCCCUGACGAUACUCUGGGGGUAGCCCCACGGGAAAAUAAGAAGUUGCCAACU